rnacentral:rRNA from 1 species
GACGGAGGGUGCUAGCGUUGUUCGGAAUUACUGGGCGUAAAGGGCGCGUAGGCGGCCGUUUGCGUCGGAUGUGAAAGCCCGGGGCUCAACCCCGGAACGGCAUCCGAUACGGGACGGCUGGAGACCGGGAGAGGAGGGUGGAACUGCGAGUGUAGAGGUGAAAUUCGUAGAUAUUCGCAAGAACACCAGUGGCGAAGGCGGCUCACUGGCCCGAUACUGACGCUGAGGCACGAAAGCGUGGGGAGCAAACAGG